GUCCCAAAACAUUAUUUUUCUAAAACAUUCUUUUUUUCUUCUCUCCCUGACAUUUCCCACGUGUACCUUACAGUGCACUGAUGACCUGUUUCACCUGUGAGUCUUUAUCCAGCAGGAAUGAAGUAAGAGCUGCCUUUUUUCACCCUGCCAAAAGAGUUCGCAAUUGAAGGCCAUCUGCUUUGACAUCAGUACCUCAAUUUACUUUCACUUCAAAAAUUGGCUAUUUAUCUCCUCUGAUAAAUAUAUAUAUUUUUUUAUUUUCUGUAUAGCAAAAAUCUUAACCAAAGGUAAAGGUUUGACAAACUGACUUCUAAGCACACAUUAGACUUAAUGAAGGCAUUGAAUGCAGAAGUCUAGAAAGGGCACGAUUAAGUUGUUUGUUGGCAUUAUAGCAAGCAGUAUUCUG